GGCAGGCUUUGCCUUGGGAUGAGAACCUGUAAAGAGUUAAAAGUGCUCCCGUGGUCUGAAUUGUUAGGACAAACCUGCCUGCCAAAAAUGGUUUUAAAGGCAAGUGUGUUUCUAAUCCCAGCAUUCGGGAUGUAGAGGCAGGAAGAUGAGGAGGCUUGCCUGGGUUACAUGAGACCUGUCUGGAGAAAAAAAAUAAUCUAUCACUGAUGUCUCCAGGCAGCUCUGUCAGGAGCAAAAGCUCUGUCAGGAGCAAACCAGAUCCUCUCUGGAUCCUCUAGACCUUCAUGCUAGGUCUCCAAAGAACUGAUCUUUUAAAGUAUUUUUUUCAAACAAAAUGACCAGAUACACAGUCAAAUACACUAGACACAAGUGUCAAACAGGACUCAGAGGUGCAAUACAGAGCAGUCAGAGGCAGUAACACGAUGCUUACUACCCGAAGCAGGCUGUUCUCAACCCCGCGGAUGGACUCGUUUUGAUUGUAAACAUGGUCUUUCUUUGUAGCCCCCGGCUGUUCUUUAAGGCUCUGUGCAGCGUAGUCCAGCUGUCUGAAACCAUUCCCCUGCUUCAGCUUCCUGGGUGUCAGGAUUAUGGGCACAUACUAAGCCUGGUUCCUAAAGACAAAAUCUCUACUAUGUAGUCCUGGCUGUUCUAGAACUCAUUAUGUAGACUGGGCUGGCCUUAAACUCAACAGAGAUCUGCCUACCUCUCUUGGAGUUCUGGGAUUAGAGGUAUGCGCCAAAACCUUUGCUUCAAAUACUCUUUUGAUGUAACUCAGAUGUUUCUCCCCUUGAAUCUGGGCAGGUUUCCAAAUCACUUGACAGAAUAUGAUAAAGUCACUUUACAAGGUUUUUAAAGAAAAGGUGACAAAAAGUCUGGUCCAGAGGACUGAAAUUACAAGUCCUGCCAGGACUAUAGUGAGUUCCAAGUCAGCCUGGGCAAUUCAACAAGACCCUGCCUAAAGUAAAACGGGAAAACCAGGGUGCUGGCACCUGCCUCUUAGCCCAACUCUCGGGAGGUGGAAGCAGGAGGGACAGAAGUUCAUGGUCAUCUUCAAUUACAUGAUGAGUUUGAGGCUAGCCUGGGCUACAUGAAACCAUCUCACAAAAGAGACAAACCAGGUGGAGUGGCAUAGGCCUGUAUUUCCAGCUACUUGGGGCUUGGGAAAAAAGAUGAGUGUGAGCUGAGAAGUUCAGGCUGGCAUGAAUAUCAGACACCGUGUCAAAAGAAGAUAAAUGUCAAAAUGUAAAAAUGAUGUUUCACAAUAUGAGGAAGGAAUAUGACAUAAAAAUGACUUUACUACAGGCAGUGGUGGCACACACUUUUAAUCACAGCACUCAGGAGGCAGAGGCAAGUGGGUCUCUUGAGUCCCAGGACAGCCUGAUCUACACAGAAAAAUCCCAUCUCAAAAAAGAAAAGAAAAAAAAAAGAAAACAACUAAAAACUAAUUUUAUGAUGGUUGUGUUGGCACAAACCUGUAACUCUAACAUUCUUGGAUGCUGGGAUACAAGGAUGAAGAAUUUAAGGCCAGCCUGAGAGAUACACAGACUCUGUCUCAGAAAGGGAGGAGCGGGGAUUGAAGAGAGGGCUGAGUGCUUACUGCUCUGUAACUCCAGCUCCAGGGGAUCUGAAUAGUGGGUAAUGUGUUACACACACACAUUCAUAUUCUCUCUCGUUGGCUCCAAAGAACUGAUAACAGGUUAAGGGAGCUGGCAGUGGAUCCAGGUUGGAUUCCCAGCACAUGGUGCCUCACACCUCCCUGUUAAUACCAACCCCAAGGCAUCCAGCGCCCCCUUCUGGCCUCCACAGAUAACCACAUGAGUAUAAUGCACAGAUAACGCAAGCAAAACACCCAUACACAUAAAAUAAAACGUUUUAAACUAACAAAAAUCUGAAAAGAAUAUUCAAAAGCAGUGUGAGGGGAAGCAGAGAGACAGGUCAGCAGGUAAAGCCAUUGGCCACUGAGCCUAAUGACGGCUCCAGAAUGCUGUCCUCUGACCUGCAUGUGUGCGCUGGUCUCACUCCAAACGGAGCAUGCACACACAAAUAAAUGUUAGGGUUUGGGGUUUUUUUUUUUUUUGUUUUGUUUUGUUUUUUAAGAUUUUUAACUUGAAAAACUGGGUCAACAGAAGCCAGGUGUUUAUGGGUUCUGGAAAAAGGAAAACAGCAAACAAAGAUUUAAGGAACAAAUUAAAGUCUG
rnacentral:lncRNA from 1 species